UACGAAGGGGGCUAGCGUUGCUCGGAAUCACUGGGCGUAAAGGGUGCGUAGGCGGGUCUUUAAGUCAGGGGUGAAAGCCCAGAGCUCAACUCUGGAACUGCCUUUGAAACUAGAGGACUUGGGUACGGGAGAGGUGAGUGGAAUUCCGAGUGUAGAGGUGAAAUUCGUAGAUAUUCGGAAGAACACCAGUGGCGAAGGCGGCUCACUGGCCCGUUACCGACGCUCAGGCGCGACAGCGUGGGGAGCAAACAGG
rnacentral:rRNA from 1 species